rnacentral:rRNA from 1 species
UACGUAGGGUGCGAGCGUUAAUCGGAAUUACUGGGCGUAAAGCGUGCGCAGGCGGCUUUGCAAGACAGAUGUGAAAUCCCCGGGCUCAACCUGGGAACUGCAUUUGUGACUGCAAGGCUAGAGUACGGAAGAGGGGGAUGGAAUUCCGCGUGUAGCAGUGAAAUGCGUAGAUAUGCGGAGGAACACCAAUGGCGAAGGCAAUCCCCUGGGCCUGUACUGACGCUCAUGCACGAAAGCGUGGGGAGCAAACAGG